rnacentral:rRNA from 1 species
UGCAAGUCGAACGAUGAUUAUCUAGCUUGCUAGAUAUGAUUAGUGGCGGACGGGUGAGUAACAUUUAGGAAUCUGCCUAGUAGUGGGGGAUAGCUCGGGGAAACUCGAAUUAAUACCGCAUACGACCUACGGGUGAAAGGGGGCGCAAGCUCUUGCUAUUAGAUGAGCCUAAAUCAGAUUAGCUAGUUGGUGGGGUAAAGGCCCACCAAGGCGACGAUCUGUAACUGGUCUGAGAGGAUGAUCAGUCACACCGGAACUGAGACACGGUCCGGACUCCUACGGGAGGCAGCAGUGGGGAAUAUUGGACAAUGGGGGCAACCCUGAUCCAGCCAUGCCGCGUGUGUGAAGAAGGCCUUUUGGUUGUAAAGCACUUUAAGCAGGGAGGAGAGGCUAAUGGUUAAUACCCAUUAGAUUAGACGUUACCUGCAGAAUAAGCACCGGCUAACUCUGUGCCAGCAGCCGCGGUAAUACAGAGGGUGCGAGCGUUAAUCGGAAUUACUGGGCGUAAAGCGAGUGUAGGUGGCUCAUUAAGUCACAUGUGAAAUCCCCGGGCUUAACCUGGGAACUGCAUGUGAUACUGGUGGUGCUAGAAUAUGUGAGAGGGAAGUAGAAUUCCAGGUGUAGCGGUGAAAUGCGUAGAGAUCUGGAGGAAUACCGAUGGCGAAGGCAGCUUCCUGGCAUAAUAUUGACACUGAGAUUCGAAAGCGUGGGUAGCAAACAGGAUUAGAUACCCUGGUAGUCCACGCCGUAAACGAUGUCUACUAGCCGUUGGGGUCCUUGAGACUUUAGUGGCGCAGUUAACGCGAUAAGUAGACCGCCUGGGGAGUACGGCCGCAAGGUUAAAACUCAAAUGAAUUGACGGGGGCCCGCACAAGCGGUGGAGCAUGUGGUUUAAUUCGAUGCAACGCGAAGAACCUUACCUGGUCUUGACAUA